rnacentral:rRNA from 1 species
UACAUGGGGUGCAAACGUUGCUCGGAAUUAUUGGGCGUAAAGCGCACGUAGGUGGUUCGUUAUGUCGGAUGUGAAAGCCCUCGGCUCAACUGAGGAAGUGCAUCCGAAACUGGCGAGCUAGAGUAUGUAAGAGGGUCGCGGAAUUCCCGGUGUAGAGGUGAAAUUCGUAGAUAUCGGGAGGAACACCGGUGGCGAAGGCGGCUCUCUGGGCCUGUACUGACGCUGAGGAGCGAAAGCGUGGGGAGCAAACAGG